rnacentral:misc_RNA from 1 species
UUCUGGACACUCAGGAAUUAACUGGACAUCACCAGUGAAAAUGCUAUUGAAGGAAACCCAGCAAUGGACCCUUGUAAAUGCAACUUUGCCAACAACCCCUUCUCCCAAGGCAUAAUGAAGAUGAGACAUGUCAGCCGCUAGAAGUCCAACUGGAUAAUCCUCUAAGCUACAAUUGGAUGUAUUUGUUUCUAACUGAGGAGAAAACAUAUCAGUUGCAGCUUUGCAGUAACCAACAUUUGUUAUACUUUCCACAAGUUCUCUUGGUUUUGGAUAAUUAAAGUACCCAUCUUCCCAAGUCAAAAUCAUUGGGCUCUCAUGCCUAAGCUUCCAU